AACGAUUUUCCCGUACAGAGGUCAUCGGUUAAAUUCCGUUGGAGAAGCAUUGUAAUAAACCCUGUAUUGCUCUGUAACUGCUGACCAUAAUCUUGCAGAAAAUUACAAAGUAACCGAGCAGUUUAGGGAUUUUCAUACUUUCCUUAUCUUGUAUGAAGAAUCCGGGACACGACUAAAAAGAAUGUCAACGUUAAUAUUAUAUUGGCUGAACGACCGAGCAGGUGGCAACAAACCCGAUGGAACAAAAAAAAUACAAUUUGGAUAAUAUGUGUCGAUUUCCAGUUCCGGAUUUCUUGAAAUCCGAAAAACUUUUGGCAGGUUGAUAAUUAGUAGUUACAUCCUUCGCUAGCUCAACGGAAAUUAACACCACAAGUGGUUCUCUGUUUGAACGCUCUGCCUCAGAUGUGCCGGUAUGGGAAGACGGUCGUGGGCUGCUCUGCAAAAGCAGGACCAUCGAGGACGUGUCGUGGAAGCUGACCAUAGCAGAAGUGUUUAAAGUUUAAAUCGAGCGUAAUGUCGGUAAGCCGCGAUCAGAAAUUUUGUGGAGAAGGUACAUGCGGAAACAGUAUUGCAUGAGCCAUCAUCGCGGUUUGAACAAAUCCAGCCAAUUCAAUAUGAAAUUGUUGCACCAGAACGAAAUGGGGAUCGAUGAACUCUACUGGAAAAACUUCCGCUCUGUAAGUAACAAGCUUAAAAAAAUGUCAUCAACAAAAUAGCUCAGAAAACAGUAGAUAUAGAUAGAUUCGAAUUUUCUUUGGUUUGUAAAUUUUCUUUCGUUUGUACCUUAAUAUAGUUAUAUAGAAACCUGUAAUUUCCUUUA